CGUAUGCGGCAAAACGGUGUAUUCACACCCCAUAGGUUUGAGCGAUCUGCACCUGUAUUCACACGUCCUCUACAGAUUCUGAGUUUCCAACCCUAAGACGUUUGUUUGACUGUCGUCUGGUCUGUGCGUGCUCAUUGGUGGUCUGAGUGGUCUACGACGAUGCUAGAGUCGACGUUGGUGGCCAUUUGUUAGUGUUGUGCACUGGUCUGCGACGACGUUUGGCCUCUCUGCGUUAAUUGGAGUUUCUGUGGUGAGAAUUUUGGUGUUUCUCAAUUUCCUUUUUCUUGUUAAAUGUUUGAGUCGAUUGUAAAUUAGUUUUAGCAAGGUGCAAUACAGCGUCUGGUAUUUGUUCUUGAAUGGUGGAAAUUGUUGUUAAGGUCCUUGAAUAUACAGUUAUUCGAAACUCUAAUCAGUCCUUGAGUGUGUUUUCCAUUUGUUAAAUUAGUUA